CAAUAGCGUAUAUUAAAGUUGUUGCAGUUAAAAAGCUCGUGGUUGGAUUUCUGGCAGGAGCGACCGGUCACACACUCUGUGUGUGAACUUGCGUUGUCUCUGGCCAUCCUUGGGAAGAUCCUGUUUGGCAUUAAGUUGUCGGGCAGGGGAUACCCAUCGUUUACUGUGAAAAAAUUAGAGUGUUUAAAGCAGGCUUAUGCCGUUGAAUAUAUUAGCAUGGAAUAAUAAGAUAGGACUUCGGAACUAUUUUGUUGGUUUGCGUUACGAAGUAAUGAUUAAUAGGGACAGUUGGGGGUAUUCGUAUUUCGUUGUCAGAGGUGAAAUUCUUGGAUUUCCGAAAGACGAACUACUGCGAAAGCAUUUACCAAGGAUGUUUUCAUUAA
rnacentral:rRNA from 1 species